GUAGGCGCGGCGCUGGGCAUUGGAGACCAGAGAAGAAGGGCACGCCAUUGGAGGGAGCAGUGGAGGAAGGAGCCGAGCAGGGAGAUCGUGGCUAGAGAGAUGGACGCCAUGGAUGAGCAGGACGCGUUGAGCGCAGGGAAACAGGGGUGCAGCUCGAGAGUCCAGGGAUAAGAAGCCGAGCGCUGGGCGAGCUCGGGGAGCAGCGUGCACGGCAGCCAUGGCGAGCAGAGACGAGCGGCUGCCAGGCACGCGGAGCGAGCAGGGCACACGGCGAGCAGAGCCUAGCCAGGGACACGACAGUAGGGAAGCAGGCGACCAGGGGAAGGGCUCUGUGGAGCCUAGGCGUGACUCGCUGGGCGAAAACAGCACGAGGCAACGGGUGCUCGAGGCGGUGCUCCAGCUUAACGGCGGCCACCAGCGGAGCGGUAUACAACAACCAGGAGAUAAGGCCGAGCUGAGGCCGGCUGAGAGGAGCAAAGGGCACGGUGAGCAGAGGAGAGAAGCUGGGAGUUGGGAGGGCGCCGAGCUGGGUCCAAGCCAUGGGCGCGGCACGCGUAGGGAGGAAGACAGAGGUUGGGGAAGGAGCUCCAUGGCUUGGAGACGCAGGGGACGCGCGACAGCUGAAAUGGAUUGAUGGGCACACGCGUAGGAGAUAAGGACGCUGAAAAAAAUCUGAGCAGGGGCGGUGACAGCAGAGAAGAACGAAAGAUUUUUUUUUUGGGAAUUUUCUUUUGUUCAUUUUUCUUUAUAGAAAAUCGUAGAUAUUUUUGGAUCGAUAUUUUUAGCGAUAACAAAAGGGUCGAUGGUACUUGCGACACAGUUUGAUU
rnacentral:misc_RNA from 1 species